UGUCAAGGCAAUUAAUACGUAUACUUGAGUUGAAAUAAGUUUUUUUUUCCAAAAAUGUAUUAAAAUUAUAGAGUUUACGAGGACGAACUCGAACCUCGCAGAAAACGGAAUGACAUCUACGAUCCAAGUCAGGCCCACGACGGAAAGUCGAAGAAACUGCAUGUAGCUGUGUUGAUAAAACGGCGAGGAUAACUAGGUUACCAAGGUCCAAACUUAUCACGCAUGACUCACGUCUCGCUGUCGAUGUGGAUGCAGCCCAUCCUUCCCUCCUCCUCAUGUGCGAACCUCUUUAUUUCCCCCUUUACUUUUCGUAUGUAAAUGGCUGUCAGGGUGAACAUGACGAUAUUGAAAGUGCUUAGGAUCAGCGACGGCCCAGAUACGUAGAUCCAGGAGAAUGUGCUCGAAACUGGUUCAAUAUAGUAAAGCAAUACCUUGGUAACGAUUGAAAGCUUACAUUUGACACCGCACUUAAUAAAACCGACCAAAGGCAACCAGUUCCACUUAUUGAGAUCGUUUUCCCACAUCCGAUUAACCAUAUAAAUACUUCCUGUCAUGACGGCGGCUGUAGUCCAGACGAAGGCGUUGUACAGCUGGAACCUAUAAGUAGGUUCGGUUCGAUUGAGCGACGUCAAGAGUUUCCAUAAUUGGUAGCUGAUGACGGAGAGCCAGAGAUUGGAAGCUCUCCACAAGAAGUGCAAGCUGUAACCUGCGAGACGUAUAUAUUACCAGGGAUAUCUUUUACCCAGUAGACGAAUUCAUUAACUAACCAGCUGGAGAGCAGACACUGUUCAAUACCUUCAUAUUAAUUAGUAUAAUGAUCAAAUACUGGGUUAACCUAGAGACCAUGCAGCUUAUAAUGCACUUGCCAGUCACAUUGCGCAGAUCCUUGAUGUAUAGAUAUACGGCGAUUGUCAGAAUAAAGCAUAUCAUUGAUAUUGUUAUGACUGCAACAGAAAAUAUCAAUAAUGUAACAGCAGAUUGGCAAACCAAAAAAGGAUACAUGUAAGUUAUGCAGCUGUGCUUCACUAUCCACAUGGAGUUUGGAAAGUCCGAAUUAAACUGAUACGGAUACAGGCAGUAGUAUUGCUUUUCAAUGGACAACUGGCCAUCGGGGAUUAAAAGCGUUCCAUUCUAAA